AUUGAACGCUGGCGGCAGGCUUAACACAUGCAAGUCGAGCGGGGUGAUGGUGCUUGCACUAUCACUUAGCGGCGGACGGGUGAGUACUGCUUAGGAAUCUGCCUAUUAGUGGGGGACAACAUCUCGAAAGGGAUGCUAAUACCGCAUACGUCCUACGGGGGAAAGCAGGGGAUCACUUGUGACCUUGCGGUAAUAGAUGAGACUAAGUCGGAUUAGCUAGUUGGUGGGGUAAGGGCCUACCAAGGCGACGAUCUGUAGCGGGUCUGAGAGGAUGAUCCGCCACACUGGGACUGAGACAUGGCUCAGACUCCUACGGGAGGCAGCAGUGGGGAAUAUUGGACAAUGGGGGGAACCCUGAUCCAGCCAUGCCGCGUGUGUGAAGAAGGCCUUAUGGUUGUAAAGCACUUUAAGCGAGGAGGAGGCUCUUUUGGUUAAUACCCAGAAUGAGUGGACGUUACUCGCAGAAUAAGCACCGGCUAACUCUGUGCCAGCCGCCGCCGUAA
rnacentral:rRNA from 1 species